rnacentral:lncRNA from 1 species
CAGAACAGUAGCCAAUGCCAGCCCGGGAUCUGUUGUCUUCCAGCUCAAUCACCUUCCCUAAACCAGCAACUACACCACAUUCAAUGGCCAGUUUUGCAUCUCGGUAGGAAGCAAAUGAAGGAGACUUCUUCUCGAUUGGUUCAUCAAUAGAUAAAGCUUGGAACGGAGUUCCAACUUCAUCCUCGGCAUCAAUAUAUGAGAAAGAAGACAAGUGGCUAACCAGGAGAGCCCUUUCUCCCCCUACCACAACCAGUUU